GCAUAUCAAUAAGCGGAGGAAAAGAAACCAACAGGGAUUGCCCUAGUAACGGCGAGUGAAGCGGCAACAGCUCAAAUUUGAAAUCUGGCGCAAGCCCGAGUUGUAAUUUGUAGAGGAUGUUUCUGGCGACGCGCCUUCCGAGUUCCCUGGAACGGGACGCCAUAGAGGGUGAGAGCCCCGUACGGUUGGAUGCCUAGCCUCUGUGAAACUCCUUCGACGAGUCGAGUAGUUUGGGAAUGCUGCUCUAAAUGGGAGGUAUACGUCUUCUAAAGCUAAAUACCGGCCAGAGACCGAUAGCGCACAAGUAGAGUGAUCGAAAGAUGAAAAGCACUUUGAAAAGAGGGUUAAAAAGUACGUGAAAUUGUUGAAAGGGAAGCGUUCAUGACCAGACUUGGGCAGGUUGAUCAUCCGUGGUUCUCCGCGGUGCACUCUGCCUGCCCAGGCCAGCAUCAGUUCGCCCCGGGGGAUAAAGGCUCUGGGAAUGUGGCUCCUCCGGGAGUGUUAUAGCCCACUGCGUAAUACCCUGGGGUGGACUGAGGUUCGCGCAUCUGCAAGGAUGCUGGCGUAAUGGUCAUCAACGACCCGUCUUGAAACACGGACCAAGGAGUCGUCUUCGUAUGCGAGUGUUCGGGUGUCAAACCCCUACGCGUAAUGAAAGUGAACGUAGGAGAGAGCUUCGGCGCAUCUCCGACCGAUCCUGAUGUUCUCGGAUGGAUUUGAGUAAGAGCAUACGGGGCCGGACCCGAAAGAAGGUGAACUAUGCCUGUAUAGGGUGAAGCCAGAGGAAACUCUGGUGGAGGCUCGCAGCGGUUCUGACGUGCAAAUCGAUCGUCAAAUAUGGGCAUGGGGGGCGAAAGACUAAUCGAACCUUCUAGUAGCUGGUUUCGCG
rnacentral:rRNA from 1 species